rnacentral:lncRNA from 1 species
AUGCUGUCCAAGGGUCCGCCGCAGUCCGUGCAGGUCUUCGGACGCAAGAAAACAGCCACGGCUGUGGCCCACUGCAAACGGGGAAAUGGGCUCAUCAAGGUGAACGGUCGUCCCCUGGAGAUGAUCGUGCGCGCUGCAGUACAAGUUACUGGAGCCUGUUUUGCUUCUGGGCAAGGAGCGAUUUGCUGGUGUGGAUAUUCGGGUCCGUGUGAAGGGUGGUGGACAUGUGGCCCAAAUUUAUGCCAUCCGACAGUCCAUCUCAAAGGCCCUGGUAGCUUAUUACCAAAAAUAUGUGGAUGAAGCCUCUAAGAAGGAGAUCAAAGAUAUCCUCAUCCAAUACGAUCGGACCCUGCUUGUAGCUGACCCCCGUCGCUGCGAAUCCAAAAAGUUUGGAGGUCCUGGUGCCCGUGCCCGAUACCAGAAAUCCUACCGAUAA